rnacentral:rRNA from 1 species
CAUUCACGGAGAGUUUGAUCCUGGCUCAGGACGAACGCUGGCGGCGUGCUUAACACAUGCAAGUCGAACGAUGAAGCCCUUCGGGGUGGAUUAGUGGCGAACGGGUGAGUAACACGUGGGCAAUCUGCCCUUCACUCUGGGACAAGCCCUGGAAACGGGGUCUAAUACCGGAUACGACCUGCCGAGGCAUCUCGGCGGGUGGAAAGCUCCGGCGGUGAAGGAUGAGCCCGCGGCCUAUCAGCUUGUUGGUGAGGUAACG